rnacentral:lncRNA from 1 species
AAAUAUAUUUAUAGUGUCUCUCUCUCUCCCUCUCUCUCUCUCUCUCUCUCUCUCUCUCUCUCCCUCUAUCCCUCUCUCUCUCUCCCUCGCUUUCUCUCCCUCCCUCUCACUCUGUCUCUCUUCGUAGAUAUUCAGGAGUUUUAUGAACUGACCCUGCUGAACUCUCAGAAGAGCUGUGAUCAGAAGCUGGUGGAGGUGAAUCAUAUGGCUGAGCAGUGGAAACAAACUGCCACCAACUCAACCUCACCCUCUGAGGGUCCUAGGCCAGCCUCCACACCGCCAGAGCUGAGAGAAGAGUGUCACAUGGAGCUAACCAUAGAGGAGCCUGCCGCAGGAAGCACCAAUACAGAGAGAUCUGGCUCAUCUGUGGCACCCUGAGAAGCACAGCUCAGGACUCAUAGGGUGAACCCCUCAAUCUGGUAGAAAAGGUGAAUACAAGUGAGUACAUUAGAUGAAACGAACAGAUACAUCUCUUUGGUCAGCAGAAAGCUUUUUUUUCUCUCUCUCUCUCUUCUGCCUGUAGCUGCUGACUGAUGCCGAGACUUAAAGUUGGCCCAAUUUGUAUGCAGCCCUUAUUGUUUGAAUGUUUGUUUUGAUUGUCUAUGUUAAGUUUUUGUCCAUACAGAUGAUUUCAUGAUAAUUAAAAACACUUUUACACUUUUGUGUAAAAAUAUCAUAAAAUAUCAAUGUUUUAUUUAAAUUAUGGGGAAGGCAGGAUAGUAAGGGAUCUGGGAAUGUUGCAAGCCAAAUUAGAACGUGUAUCACCCACAGGACUGCCAUGGCAAUGAGUAAUGAAAUUCAGAUUUAGAUGUCUGCAUAAAAACUUGUCACCGUAUCAUCAGGAGAAACAGCCACAUCUUUUUAAAGGGAAUAUCUUCCCUCACAAGAGUCAAUUAUAUUGUACACACUGAGAGUCAUUAUGCUGUGCUUCAUCACAGGAAGUCUUUCCUCCAACAAUGCCGUUGUCAGUUUUUUUUUUUUCACUCUGGCUCUAAAUAUUUCGUGUGAGUUCCUUCUAUUUUAAGUCAGUGAAGUGUACACGCACAUCCAACACCCUCCACCCCCUCCCUCUACUUCAAUUGCAUGCAACAAUAUAUCUGCAUCUGUCUCUCUCUUUCUCUUCCUGUGACUUCCUCCACUCUCUUCUGGGUUAAUGUUACGUAAUAGUUUGCGGGAUGCACUCAGUAGGUUAUGGCUGAGAGAAUAUCAUCCCACACACACACACACUGUGUGAUGCUGGGUGUUUAUGUGUGUUUCAGUCCCCCAUCGCAGCUGUUUUUAGUGGCUUGGACUAAGGUGAUGUAAUGACGAUUUCUGCCUCCACCCCAGCAGUGCAACCUUCUCUGCUCACCCUCCUCUCCUCCGCUGGACAGUGUGGGAUCUAGGGUUUAUCCGCGUAGGAAACACUCAUUGAUUUAUUUUUAUUUAUUUAUUUAUUUUCUAGCCCACAAGGCCACUCGUUCUUGUCCGUCUUUAGCUUUAGUUAGAGUUGAAUAUGUCUGCAAUUAUUCUGUUCAUUCAUUCAGGCGGAGGUGUAAAAUUUGCAAUGGACAAUGCCCACAUGCUUUGAGGAGUUUUUACACUUUAUGUGCUGUACUUCAGCACAUACUUAUUAUAAACAGAACAUUAUCAUCUGUUUGUGUGGACACUAAUAUAGUUACUGCUGUAGUUAUCUUAUGUUAAGUUAUUCUUGGUAUAGUUAUUCUGUAGUUAUGCUGUAGUUAUUCUUGGUGUGAACGGGCCUUUACUGAGGUUGUUGCUGAGAUUGAAUAAUUAGAUAUUAAAAAUAAAGUCUAGAGUUGGGAAUCUUUGAAUAGAGUUUCUAAAUCAGAAUUUAAACAAAAAGUGGAUUGAUUUUCAUUGUUUCUUUUUAUGGCAUAGUUUCAGCUUUAGACAAUAUUAGCUCAUCCUCAUUUUGCACACUUAUUUACUUACUUUGGUUUGGAGCAGAAGGCUCUCUUCCUAAAAGGUCAUAAAAAAAAUUAUAAUAAUGGAUUUAGUGUAGGUCAUCUGUAAAUCAGCACAAUACGGACAAAAUGGAAAACUGUUCCCUCUCAAAAUUUUGUCAUCAGACUUAUAGUGCACAUUUAAUUAAUAUAGAAUUGAAUUAGUCCUAGGGUUAAUGUCUUGUGAAUGUGACGCUGAUCUCUAGAUCAGGGUGAGUAGCUUUGCAGUACUGCUGAGUUCAGGGUUGUAGAAAAGCCUUUAUGCAUCUCUGAGCGCCCACCCUAAUCCUCUCAUUGCAUUUGAAGAUGUACCAGAGCCAAAGAUGUGCAUUGAGGCUGGGACAGCAGAUAUUUCAAGAGUGCUAAAGUGACAUAAGGCCAAGUAGGAUGACAAGACAGUUGAAUUUAGCUUAUUUACUAAGUAAAGGGAAAGGCUAAAGGAAGUAAUGAUUUAAGCUGCUGUUAAUGCUAUGCAUGUGAUUUUUUCUACUACCUGAUAAACAUCUCUAAGAUAUACUAUCAUUGAAAAAUGUGGGGUUUGUAAGAUUUUUAUCAUGCCCUAAAAGUAUUUUGUGAAGAAGAAGGACACAGCUUUGAGUGUGUUGCAGAGGAAUGCCUAGGCAAGCUUUGGGACAUGCUACUUUGUCUUUGAUGGACCGCUCUGUUGCUUAGUUACAUGCAUCCUUUUAACUUUAAACAGCCUUGUCAAUCAUCUUGUCACAGUUAACAUUAUUCACACUUUGUUUCAUUUAAUUUCCUACUGUAUUGGAGAGAAAUGAUGUAGCACAUUCAUCUGCCAGCCAUGGGUCUUUCAUGCCGAGAACUCUCCUUAUGUGUUUGCAUAAUGGUGCAUUUAAAAGUUAAUGACCAAACGUAUCUUUAUAAAUCUUUAAAAAGUAAUCAAAUUGUGUGUUGAUCUCAUUGCUUGUUGUAUGGACUGAUUUAUAUUUGUAAACCUGGAAAGUUGUUUAAAAGGAUUCACAUUUUAGAUGUUGUCAGUGUCUGUUUUCACAGUGCUUUCCAACACUCAACCUUCAUUAGUCUAACUGACUGAUAUUCAUCAAAUAAAUAGUCUAAAUAGCUAUUACCUUUAUUGCACAAAACUAUCAUAGUCAUCACACAAAACAGGGACCUUCAGACUGUGCAUAACAGGAAGAUUGCUCACAGCAGGCUGUUUGAAAUUUGUUGUUGAAGGCUCUGGUUUUUUGUGUCUUUAUGGCUGUAGCAGUGGUGCUUGAAAUGAGAUGAAUGAAGUUCUUUGAGACAGUUUACACACUAAAACCCUCUCAAACACUUUGAAACUGCCUACUUGUUUGUCUGAAUGUUAUAGGAGAAAUGCUUAGAAAACCUGUUGGAUUCUUUAGGAUUCAAUUAUACAACAGUUAGUUCCAGUCCUCUGAUUUGAUUGGGCAAGUUGUGUUUCAAAGUUAAUUUUAUCUGUUUGUAUCAAUCCAUUUGUCUAUUCACACAUGCAAAACAGAGUCAGUCAGUCUUUGUUAGUUAAAGGAUUUUUUUUUCAGGUUACAUUGUUACGCUAGAAGAUGGCAACAGGUGACAAGUCUUUAUGAGCAACUCUUACUUUAGCAAAUGUCUUUUACUCAAACUAAUAAAAAAAAAAAAGCAGUAGAAUAAUUACAAAGAAAAU